UGGGAACGCGAAGAACCUUACCAGGUCUUGACAUCCAAAGAAUUCUUACGAAAGUAGGAAGUGCCUUCGGGAGCUUUGAGACAGGUGGUGCAUGGUUGUCGUCAGCUCGUGUCGUGAGAUGUUGGGUUAAGUCCCGCAACGAGCGCAACCCUUGCUAUUAGUUGCUAACAGGUAGAGCUGAGCACUCUAAUGGGACUGCCCGUGACAAGCGGGAGGAAGGUGGGGAUGACGUCAAAUCAUCAUGCCUUUUAUGAUCUGGGCUACACACGUGCUACAAUGGAUGGUACAAAGAGAAGCAAGCCCGCGAGGUGGAGCGAAUCUCAAAAAGCCAUUCUCAGUUCGGAUUGGAGUCUGCAACUCGACUCCAUGAAGUCGGAAUCGCUAGUAAUUGCGAAUCAGCACGUCGCAGUGAAUGCGUUCCCGGGUCUUGUACACACCG
rnacentral:rRNA from 1 species